UAAGACAGCUGAAUGAUAGUCGGGCUGAAGACUCUACUUGACUAGCUGAGAGGAGGUGCAUGGCCGUCGUCAGUUCGUACUGUGAAGCAUCCUGUUAAGUCAGGCAACGAGCGAGACCCACGCCAACAGUUGCUAGCUCGUCCCCGGCGUGAGAGGGACACUGUUGGGACCGCCUCUGCUAAAGAGGAGGAAGGAAUGGGCAACGGUAGGUCAGCAUGCCCCGAAUUAUCUGGGCUACACGCGGGCUACAAUGGGUGGGACAAUGGGUAUCGACACCGAAAGGUGAAGGCAAUCUCCUAAACCCAUCCUUAGUUCGGAUUGUGGGCUGCAACUCGCCCACAUGAAGCUGGAAUCUGUAGUAAUCGUGUUUCAAAAUAGCACGGUGAAUAUGUCCCUGCUCCUU
rnacentral:rRNA from 1 species